rnacentral:rRNA from 1 species
UACGUAGGGUGCAAGCGUUGUCCGGAAUUAUUGGGCGUAAAGAGCUCGUAGGCGGUUUGUCGCGUCGGCUGUGAAAACCCGGGGCUCAACCCCGGGCCUGCAGUCGAUACGGGCAAACUAGAGUGCGGUAGGGGAGACUGGAACUCCAGGUGUAGUAGUGAAAUGCGUAGAUAUCUGGAAGAACACCAAUGGCGAAGGCAAUGUUCUGGCUCGUUUCUGACGCUCAGGUGCGAAAGCCAGGGGAGCGAACGGG